AUUCGGUCUUCCAGAAGUUCCAUCACCUUUCUGGGUGCAUGAUAAGGCAGACCUGGGGCCAUUUGCAUCAUCUUCUACUUUUCAUGGGGAAGUACUCAACUUCUGGAUCUCACGGCUACUGGCUCUCGGUGUGCUCAGUGGUGAAUCCCAGCAAGAUGCUAUGGUGACAGCCGGCACCAAGUUCUAGAUAUUUUCUCUUCUUGGGUCAUUCUCUUAACAUUUAAAAAAUGUCUUUCUUAAGUGGUUUCCAUCCACGCAAAUUAAUGAGAAGCAUGUACUAGUAGAAUGCAAUACAGAGAGUAAGAGACCAUGAUGGCGUCCUUGACGAUGAAACACUCGUUCUCCUGGCCCUUCUGCCUCAGACGUGGUAGAGACCGACCCCGAUCCUCGUGUCUCCAGCUGCAGCCCGACUCCGUGGUGAGCUAGUGGAUACCAUUGCUCUGUCCUGAUGCGAGAGCGAAGGCCACUUCGAAGCUGAGAGCAGCCGGGGUAACUGCCCUGUCAGGUCCCCAUGGAGGGAUUCCACAGUGAGACCAGGGCCUGUCUCUUCUCAUGCCUUCUGACACCCCAGGAUACCUUCGAGAAGCCGAAAACCACCUCUUUGCAAGUCAGUGUUGUCUAAACUCUGAAACCCCUUCCUACCUCUGAGUUUUGCAGGACCUUAGAAUUACUUGUUGGGUCAAAUUCCUCCCCGUUACUUGAACAUAUUCCUAUUAUUUUUCCGCAUCCUUUAAGGUACUGUCUCAGAAACGUGACUGUAAAUUCAGUGUGUCCCAGCAUUCUUGUGAAACUGAGGACGUACAGACUUGCCUGUUGGAAGUGAGAUGAGCCAGCAGUUAGCCCAAACCAUUGACACUGACUCUGUUCAGAGUGUCUUCUCCACAAAGCUGGCAAGCGAGUGGCCAGAUGAGCCUCUCCUUCCCCCCGUCAUGCUAGGGUCACUUUUCCAGUCCAUACCCCUACACUGGACCGUCCCAAGGACUUCUUCUAGGGUUUCCUGCUUCUCCUCUCUCGCUGUCUCAUCCAGGUCUUUCCCAAGUUCCCUGAUGUUAUGUGCAGAUGAUACUAAAGUUAUAUUUCAUUUUUUGUAUAUAGCGAUCCUUUAUGACAAUCUGCCUUGUCACUUGUUAUAGGCUGGAUUAUGUCCUCCAAUACAAUAUGCUUAAAUCCUACUCCCUGGUAUCUGUGAAUGUGACCUUAUUUGGAAAUAGGGUCUUUGUAGGUUAACUAGUUAAGAUGAGAUAUCAGUGGUGUAGCAUGGGCCUUUAAGCCAACAUGACUGGUGUCUUAGAAAAGACCUAGAGACAUCCACUCAGAGGGAAGAAGCCAUGUGACUACAGAGAUAUGGAUCAGACUGGUGCAACUGCAGGCCGAGGACACUAGGGACUGCCAGUGGCCACCAGAAACCGGGAGAGCAGCAUGGAACAGGUUCUCCUCGGAUCCCACAGAGGAGCAACCCACUAAGACCUUGAUUUUGGAUUUAUAGAUUCCAAAACUAUGAGACAAUAAAGUUCUUUUGGUCUUAAGCCUCCUGCUCUGUGGUAAUUUGUUAACAAUGGCCUUAGAAAACUAACAUACCACCCAAGUCCCACCUCCGCCCCCCCAUCCUGAACCACCCACGUAGCUGCAGCACUGUGCUAGGUGCACACCAGGCCUCCCUGCAGUUUCUGUAAGUUCUGGGGAACACAGAAUGGAAACUCAGAAGAAAGACUCUCUCAGACCAUGACCUCCAACUACUGAGGUGUCUGCUCCCCAAGCAGAGGACUUUAGCUGAUUAGACAAAAGCUG